UACGUAGGGUGCGAGCGUUGUCCGGAAUUACUGGGCGUAAAGAGCUCGUAGGUGGUUUGUCGCGUUGUCCGUGAAAACUCACAACUCAAUUGUGGGCGUGCGGGCGAUACGGGCAGACUGGAGUACUGCAGGGGAGACUGGAAUUCCUGGUGUAGCGGUGAAAUGCGUAGAUAUCUGGAGGAACACCGGUGGCGAAGGCGGCAUCCUGGACCAACACUGACACUGAGGAGCGAAAGCCAGGGGAGCAAACGGG
rnacentral:rRNA from 1 species